rnacentral:rRNA from 1 species
UACAGAGGGGGCAAGCGUUGUUCGGAAUUACUGGGCGUAAAGGGCGCGUAGGCGGCCUUCUAAGUCGAACGUGAAAUCCCCGGGCUCAACCCGGGAACUGCGUCCGAUACUGGAAGGCUUGAAUCCGGGAGAGGGAUGUGGAAUUCCAGGUGUAGCGGUGAAAUGCGUAGAUAUCUGGAGGAACACCGGUGGCGAAGGCGACAUCCUGGACCGGUAUUGACGCUGAGGCGCGAAAGCCAGGGGAGCAAAGCGGG